rnacentral:rRNA from 1 species
UCCUACGGGGGGCAGCAGUGGGGAAUAUUGGACAAUGGGGGGAACCCUGAUCCAGCGACGCCGCGUGAGUGAAGAAGUAUUUCGGUAUGUAAAGCUCUAUCAGCAGGGAAGAAAAUGACGGUACCUGACUAAGAAGCCCCGGCUAACUACGUGCCAGCAGCCGCGGUAAUACGUAGGGGGCAAGCGUUAUCCGGAUUUACUGGGUUUAAAGGGUGCGCAGGCGGAGGUGCAAGUCAGCGGUCAAAUUGCGGGGCUCAACCCCGUACUGCCGUUGAAACUGCAUCCCUUGAGUGCGCGAGAAGUAU